GCCCAGAUGAGGCCUUGGUGGUCCGGGGUGCGGCUUCAAACCGUAGCUGGUUGACGCCAGAGUGGUUCGAUUCCACCUUCUGGGCG